GAUGAACGCUGGCGGCGUGCCUAAUACAUGCAAGUCGAGCGAAUGGGCGAGAAGCUUGUUUCCUUGUUGUUAGCGACGGACGGGUGCGUAACACGUAGAUAACCUACCUAUACGACUGGGAUAACUUUGGGAAACCGGAGCUAAAACUGGACCAUAUUUUGAUCCGCAUGGUUCAAAAGUGAAAGACGGUAUUGCUGUCACUUAUAGAUGGAUCCGCGCUGCAUUAGCUCGUUGGUGAGGUAACGGCCUACCACGGCAACGAGGCUUAGACGACCUGAGAGGGUGAUCGGCCACGCUGGAACUGGAACACGGUCCAGCCUCGUACGGGACGCGACGGUAGGGAAUCGUCCGCAAGGGGCGGAAGCCUGACGGAGCAACGCCGCGUGAGUGAUGAGGGUCUUCGGAUCGUGAAACUCUGUUAUUUGGUAAGAACAUAUGUGUAAGUGAAUGUGCACAACUUGACGGUACCUAAUCAGAAAGCCACGGCUAACUACGUG
rnacentral:rRNA from 1 species